AACGAACGCUGGCGGCAUGCCUAACACAUGCAAGUCGAACGAGAUCUUCGGGUCUAGUGGCGCACGGGUGCGUAACGCGUGGGAAUCUGCCCUUUGGUUCGGAAUAACAGUUGGAAACGACUGCUAAUACCGGAUGAUGACGAAAGUCCAAAGAUUUAUCGCCAGAGGAUAAGCCCGCGUAGGAUUAGCUAGUUGGUGUGGUAAAGGCGCACCAAGGCGACGAUCCUUAGCUGGUCUGAGAGGAUGAUCAGCCACACUGGGACUGAGACACGGCCCAGACUCCUACGGGAGGCAGCAGUGGGGAAUAUUGGACAAUGGGCGAAAGCCUGAUCCAGCAAUGCCGCGUGAGUGAUGAAGGCCUUAGGGUUGUAAAGCUCUUUUACCCGGGAUGAUAAUGACAGUACCGGGAGAAUAAGCUCCGGCUAACUCCGUGCCAGCCGCCACCGUAA
rnacentral:rRNA from 1 species